GUCCGUGUAUAUGUUAUACCUUUACAUAUAUAUAUAAUAAGGCUAAUUACUUGAUCGAUGAAUUCAGCUGUUUGACUACAAUGUAUAGCACAUUGGUAAAGCACCAGGUAAAAUAGAUUUUAAAUGUUUCAUUAGAAAACAAUAAAUAAAUUGACCUGAUUAUGAAUUGUGUUUAAUUAGGUAGAAAUUAUGUAUCAAGUGAUACAUGAAAUUGGGAUGAGGUUGUCAAGAACUGCACAAACUUUGACAUUUUUAAUACAGUGCAUUUCAUAUUUGAUAUAUCUUUGCUCAUUUGUUCAAACAAUGGGAAUCCUUUUUAAUAGACAUAACUCUGAAAAUAUUUAGAUUUGAAGACAUAUAAUUUUAUUAGAAUACUUUUUUUUUAAUAGCAAUCCUGAUGAGUUUAAUUUAACCACAAUUUUUACUUCAUUUAGCACUC
rnacentral:lncRNA from 1 species